rnacentral:rRNA from 1 species
AUUGAACGCUGGCGGCAUGCCUUACACAUGCAAGUCGAACGGUAACAGGUUAAGCUGACGAGUGGCGAACGGGUGAGUAAUGUAUCGGAACGUGCCCAGUCGUGGGGGAUAACUGCUCGAAAGAGCAGCUAAUACCGCAUACGACCUGAGGGUGAAAGCGGGGGUUCCAAAGACCCCGCCCGUUUGGACCGCCGAUUUCCGAUUAGGUAGUUGGUGGGGUAAAGGCUCACCAAGCCGACGAUCUGUAGCUGGUCUGAGAGGACGACCAGCCACACUGGGACUGAGACACGGCCCAGACUCCUACGGGAGGCAGCAGUGGGGAAUUUUGGACAAUGGGCGCAAGCCUGAUCCAGCCAUGCCGCGUGCGGGAAGAAGGCCUUCGGGUUGUAAACCACUUUUGUCAGGGAAGAAAAGGUUCUGGCUAAUACCUGGGACUCAUGACGGUACCUGAAGAAUAAGCACCGGCUAACUACGUG